GACGAACGCUGGCGGCGUGCUUAACACGUGCAAGUCGAACGGAAAGGCCCUGCUUUUGUGGGGUGCUCGAGUGGCGAACGGGUGAGUAACACGUGAGUAACCUGCCCUUGACUUUGGGAUAACUUCAGGAAACUGGGGCUAAUACCGGAUAGGAGCUCCUGCUGCAUGGUGGGGGUUGGAAAGUUUCGGCGGUUGGGGAUGGACUCGCGGCUUAUCAGCUUGUUGGUGGGGUAGUGGCUUACCAAGGCUUUGACGGGUAGCCGGCCUGAGAGGGUGACCGGCCACAUUGGGACUGAGUUACGGCCCAGACUCCUCCGGGAGGCAGCAGUGGGGAAUAUUGCACAAUGGGCGGAAGCCUGAUGCAGCAACGCCGCGUGCGGGAUGACGGCCUUCGGGUUGUAAACCGCUUUCGCCUGUGACGAAGCGUGAGUGACGGUAAUGGGUAAAGAAGCACCGGCUAACUACGU
rnacentral:rRNA from 1 species